UUUUAGUUAGUAUAAGAAGUACGUUUACCUUCCAAGUAAAGAGUCUGGACUCAGACUCCGGUGGUAGUUUAAUUUAAAC
rnacentral:tRNA from 1 species